rnacentral:rRNA from 1 species
GACAGAGGAUGCAAGCGUUAUCCGGAAUGAUUGGGCGUAAAGCGUCUGUAGGUGGCUUUUUAAGUCUGCCGUCAAAUCCCAGGGCUUAACCCUGGACAGGCGGUGGAAACUACCAAGCUGGAGUACGGUAGGGGCAGAGGGAAUUUCCGGUGGAGCGGUGAAAUGCGCAGAUAUCAGGAGGAACACCGAUGGCGAAGGCAGGUCUCUGGGCCGAUACUGACGCUGAGGAGCGAAAGCGUGGGGAGCGAACAGG